rnacentral:rRNA from 1 species
GACGAACGCUGGCGGCGUGCUUAAUACAUGCAAGUCGAACGAAGCGGCGAACGGGUGAGUAAUACGUGGGUAACCUGCCUUCCAUUUUGGGAUAACCUUUGGAAACCGGGUCUAAUACCGAAUAAAGGCUGAUGGGCUCGCGGCCUAUCCGUUUGUUGGUGGGGUGAUGGCCUACCAAGGCGGUGACGGGUCGCCGGCCUGAGAGGGGAACCGGCCACAUUGGGACGGAGAUGAGGCCCAGAGGACGACGGGAUGCAGAAGUGUGGGAUAUUGCAGAAUGGGCGAAGGCGUGAUGCAGCGUCGCCGCGGGGGGGAUGAAGGCUUUCGGGUUGUAAUCUUCUGUCGCUAGCGAACGGGUAGGUGGAGAAGAAGCGCCGGCUAACUACGUGCCAGCAGCCGCGGUAAUUC